UCCGGCACCAAAUAGAACUGGCAGACAUAGACAUUCAGUACAAGAAGAAAAAGAUAGAAAAUCUUGCACUGGAGUCCGAAAUAAAAAAAGAGGACAAUUAGGAAACUGGACCUUGAAAUAAAAAAACUUGAGAGGGAGCUCCAAGAAGAUGACACAGCUCAAAAUAAAAAUUAGCAAUCAGUACAACCAAGUCAUCGUUAUAAGGCACCGGCCUCUUUUGCCCACCCCCCCAGCACCAGGUGUGGCCACUAGCCUAUAUGAAGGCCCAAAAUUGUGUGUUCCUUUCUGCUCUGACAAUGGCAUGCCCAUUCUUGCGAGAUGUGGUGGAUGAAGAAGCACUUGUGCUGAGGAGAGCCUUCAGGCGAGAAAGGGUCUUCAGGGACUGGUUGGACCCACUGGCCU